rnacentral:rRNA from 1 species
UACGAAGGGGGCUAGCGUUGCUCGGAAUCACUGGGCGUAAAGCGCACGUAGGCGGAUUGCUAAGUCAGGGGUGAAAUCCUGGAGCUCAACUCCAGAACUGCCUUUGAUACUGGCGACCUUGAGUCCGGGAGAGGUGAGUGGAACUGCGAGUGUAGAGGUGAAAUUCGUAGAUAUUCGCAAGAACACCAGUGGCGAAGGCGGCUCACUGGACCGGUUCUGACGCUGAUGCGCGAAAGCGUGGGGAGCAAACGGG